GAUCAAAAUUCUAAAUUUCCUGGUCUUUAAUGCCUCCCGAUAUUUCUCCUCGUAUCCCCAGUCGAUCCCCAAAUCAGGAUGCGCCGCUGACCUUCGCCGCCUCGUCGCUCUGCUCCCUGAUCUACCCGCAAAGCCCCAACCUCUCCCACUGUGUUGCUUUCUCUUCUCCAUGUCGCCACCUCCGCUUCCGCUGGGUUCGUCUAGUGCGCCGGCCGCACGCCCGAAGCUCCGCCGCGGGGAAACGUCGUCGGAGCAUCACAGACCGGUGCCUACUGCCUAGCUCCACCUCAGCUUCUGCCGUUCUCCCUCGACGGUCUCCUGGAAGCUUAAUCCCCAGCCGGCAGCUCCACAAGACCUCGUUUGCCCGUCCGUGUGGCUAUUGCGGCCGCUAGCCUCGGCUGCUUCCUCCACACCACAGGUCGCCACGCACGUUUGCAGCAGCCAGUGGAAAACAAGGUAGCUAUUUCUGUUUUGUUCCUAAUGGAUUUCUUCUCCUGUUGUACUGUCUAUAUGAAAGAUGAAAAUUACGUACUCCAAUCUUUGUACACCAAUCCUGGCAACGAGCUAUCAAAUUUGUUUACCGCUACAUAUCUACGUUUCAUCUGCCCUCAUAUGUGCCGUGAAUCUGUGAUAUACUAGCAUAAUAUAUGUGUUUGAUACUUACAUGCUUCCACUCCUUCUGAUAUUGAAUCUAUUACAAUCGAACUUUGCUUCAAUCAUUUGCAUUCAUGCUUGGAUCACUUACAUUUUUGCAUAAGGCGAUGUCAGUUUUUGCUUCUUAUUGUUCCCACUGUUGUUUUAGAAAUUGAUACAACCACUACUACUAGGCAAUGUGCAUCUCUUGGCUUCAACACAUCCAUCCAUGAUUCAUCUGACAGCGACUGUGACAACGAUUGCCGUAUCAUAGCUUGCGAGGACGACGAGCUUGAAGCGUAGCCACAUCUACUAGCUUCGGCGUGGAAUGAAAGAGCUCGAUGUUAUUGAUCUUGACAGCAUAUUAUGCUUCAGCUUACUGUGCUUCCUUGUACUGCUUAUAAACAAUAUUGAUACUGACUGUAUAUUAUUUUUCACUUUCAUGUGCUUCUUGUGUUCAUAGUUGUGCUUCGUCAAGGUUUUCAGAUUGCUAUGUUAUAUAGGCAUCAUGAAGGAGGCUGAGUUCGAGCACCUGUUCAAGAGUCGAUUGUAGCAUGACGGUUGAAUGAUGCAUGGCACGAGUAGUCUAUGCAUUGCCUCAUCGAUGCAAGCCUCGUGGUCAUAAAGUAGUGCAAUGACGAGAGAACAAUCGACCCGUGGUCUAGUACUGUGUCGGCAACUAAGCAAAUUGUCCCCAUCCAGUAAUGGCGGAUGCUUGCAUUAUUCUCCUUCAGCAAAAUUCCUUGUAGAAACCACAUAAUGCGUUCAUUGGGAGCAUCUUUUUAUUCGUGAAUUUGACAUGAGUGUGUAGGAAGGAAAUAGAAGAGUACACGGAAACAUAGAAUAUUAUGAACUGAAAUUUAAAUACUUAUGAAGCAUUGUUCUAAUUGACCAGAAGCGUGUAUUAGUCUUGUUGGAAGUAUAGUUGAUUGGUGGUUGCAUA